GAAUCUUUAGCAGGUGCUACAGAAAAGGGAUUCGAUCCUUCAGUGAAUUGAACUAUUAGCUAUAUUUGAUAUUAAUUAGUUGUAGAAUCUGAAUAGUGGAUUAUUUCAGUUGAAGAACAUAUAGAAAAAGGCAUCAGUCACCGAUCGGAGAUUUUCUGUUCAGUCGCUUUAUCUGCCAUCGGAAAGGCAUCGUCGGCGAGCAUCACCUAUCCAUCAUAUUGUGAUUCUUGAUUGCAGAGACGUUAUUACUCUAUUGUCUAUUCACUAAUUCUUUGCAGGACCCAUUCUUCAAGCUUUCCAGAUAAAUUAGAAGUAUUUGACCGGAAACAAAUCAAGAUCCGAUAGAUUGAGAAAAUCCUAGACGAUCAAGACCCGAUUCGACUGAGAAAAUCAGUAAGAACAGUACUGUAGGAUUUUCGAUACACUUUGUGGUUAUUUUACCAUGCGACGGAAUCUGAUUCUCACCGUCCUCGUCGUCUAUCACUUCUCCUAUUCUCUUUGUACUCUUCCUUCAGUAUUUUCACCAAUCCGGCACGUUUACCGGCAAGGAAGCUGCCGCCCUUACUCCAUUACUGUUGAAUUUUUUCUGUGAUCUCAAAAGAUAUAAAACAGAUUUUUUGCUUUAAGGGUAAUUUGUAGAAGAUAUUGGUUUUCAUUUCUGGGUUUUUUGCUACCCUAUUCUCUUGGUUCCGUGGGUGUUUGCAUAUUUUGCAGGUAUCAUUUUUGGGAGGUGCAGCGCACAAGCAGUAAAGUAGAAGCUAUACGCCAGUUUCCGCAGCAUCGGGAGUAUAUCAAUUCGAGAGUUCUAGGUUCUAUUCAUGGGAAUUGGUACCUCUCGCCUCUUGUUUAUUUGUCAUCUGUGUUAAUUACUUUAUUAGCGUAGUAUUUCCUACUAGUCUAGUCAGUUUAGUGGGCUUGUAGUUACUAUUUGCUCCCUUUAUUGUUUUGUGUGGUGUUUUUUCUCCGUUUCAUUUUUAGACCUUCAUAGGUAUAGAGACUAUGGUUUGUAAUGGCAGAGUAGGGUCAUGUCCUCGGGGAGGUCGGGUGGUAGGGAGGGGGUAGGGCAAGGGUCGGGGGUGGGACGGGGCCCAAAUGGGGUAAAGAGAACAAGGUAGCCUGUAGGUUGAGAGUUGGAUUUUGGAAUAUAGGGACGUUGACGGGAAAGUCUAUAGAGCUGGCGAAGAUUCUCCAAAAGAGGAGGGUCAAUAUAGCGUGUGUGCAGGAGACUUGGUGGGUAGGAACGAAGGUGAGGAAUGUAGACGGGUAUAAAUUGUAGUUCUCCGGAGUCGUGAAGGGCAAGAACGGAGUGGGCAUUUCGGUGGACAGGGAGCUUAGAGAGCCGAUGGUAGAGGUUAGACGGGUGAAUAACAGAUUGAUAGUGAUUAAGGUAGUAGUUGGAGGGAGCACUCUGAAUGUCAUUAGUGCUUACGCGCCACAAACGGGCUUGGACGAGAAGGUAAAAAGGUGCUUUUGGGAGGCGCUGGAUGAGGUGGUGCGGGGUAUUCCGCCGACGGAGAAGCUAUUCAUAUGAGGGGAUUUCAAUGGCCAUAUUGGAUUGUCUGUUGGUGCCUAUGGUGAGGUGCACGGCGGCUUCGGCUUUGGUGAUAGGAACAAGGGUGGUACCUCACUGUUGGAUUUCGCUAGAGUUUUUGAGUUGGUGAUCGUGAACUAUAUGUUUCCAAAGAGGGAGGAAUAUUUGGUUACUUUCCGGAGUAUGGUGGCUAAGACUCAAAUUGACUAUCUCCUCCUCAGGAGGUGUAAUAGGGGGGUUGUGCGAGGAUUGAAAGGUGAUCCCGAGUGAGAACCUCGAAACUCAACAUAGGCUCCUAGUGAUAGAUGUUAGUAUUUUGAUGAAGAGGUUUGUACGGGGUCCGUCGAGGAUCAGGUGGGGAGCUUUGUCUAAGGAUAAUGCGCAAGAGUUCGAAGGGCGGCUGACAAAUAUAGGUGCCAGGAAGAGUAGUGGGGACGCUAGUGCUAUGUGGACGGCGACGGCGGACUGUAUAAGGGAGGCAGCAAGAGAGGUGUUGGGAGUUUCGAAAGUCUAUUAUGGGGGAUAUCGAGGCGACUGGUGGUGGAAUGACAUUGUCCAAGUUAAAGUGGAAGCCAAGAAAGUUGCGUACAUUAAAUUAGUAGAGAGCAUCGACGAGGAUCAGAGGAGUACGAACAGAGAAAAAUAUAAGGAGGCUAGGAAGGAGGCGAAAGUAGCGGUCACAGAGGCUAAGACUGCUGCUUUUGGUCGGCUUUAUGAGGAACUUGGGGGGAAAGGUGGGGAUAAGAAGUUUUUUUCAUUGGCCAAAGCAAGAGAGAAGAAGGCUCGCGAUCUGGAUCAAGUGAGGUGCAUCAAAGAUGAGGACGGUCGAGUAUUGAUGGAAGAGGCCCAGAUUAGGCAAAAAUGGCAGUCGUACUUUCAUAAACUUAUAAAUGAAGCAGGGGAUAGAAACAUCAUAUUAGGGCAAUUGGGGCACUUCGAGAGUCACCGAGACUUUAGGUAUUGUAGGCGCAUUAAGGUUGAGGAGGUCGUGGGUGCAAUGGGUAAGAUGAGUCGGGGCAAAGUGACCUAACCUAACAAGAUUCCAGUAGAGUUUUGGAGAUAUGCAGGUAGGGCAAGCUUGAAGUGGCUGACUGGGUUGUUUAAUGUUACCUUCAGGACAAAGAUGAUGCAUGAUGUGUGGCGGUGGAGUACAAUGGUUCCGGUGUACAAGAAUAAAUGGGAUAUCUAGAAUUGUAACAACUAUAGGGGCAUCAAGUUACUAAGUCAUACCAUGAAAGUCUGGGAGAGGGUGGUGGAAGGGAGGAUAAGGAGGGCGGUGUCUAUAUCAGAAAACCAGUUCGGGUUCAUGCCGGGCCAUUCUACUACGAAAGUUAUCCACCUUAUCAGGAGGUUGGUGGAACUAUACAGGGAUAGGAAGAGGGAUUUGCAUAUGGUGUUUAUUGAUCUAGAGAAGGCAUAUGACAAGGUCCCUAGGGACGUCCUUUGGAGGUGUCUGGAGGUGAAAGGUGUGCUGGUGGCUUGCAUUAGGGCGAUAAAGGAUAUGUAUGAUGGAGCUAUGACUCGGGUUAGGACUGUGGGAGGUGACUCAGAUCCUUUUUCGGUGGUUAUAAGAUUACAACAAGGAUCUGCGCUCAACCCGUUCUUAUUUGCUCUAGCGAUGGACGCACUGAUACAUCAUAUCCAAGGAAAGCUGCCAUGGUGUAUGUUGUUCGCUAAUGUUAUAGUUCUGAUUGAUAAGACACGAGGCGGUGUUAAUGGGAGACUGGAGGUAUAGAGGAAGUCUCUAGAGUCUAAAGGUUUCAAGUUGAGUAGGACUAAGACAGAAUAUAUGGAAUGAAAGUUCAGCGAUGUGACGGGGGAAGCAGAUGUAGAAGUCAAGCUUGACUCACAGGUCAUCCUCAAGAAAGAAAGUUUUAAGUACUUAGGGUCAAUUAUCCAGGAAGAUGGGGAGAUUGACGGGGAUGUUACGCAUCGUAAUGAAGUGGGGUGGAUGAAAUGGAGGUUUGCGUCUGGAGUCCUGUGUGACAAGAAUGUGCCACCGAAACUUAAAGGUAAGUUCUAUAAAGCGGUGGUUAGAUCGGCCAUGUUGUAUGGAGCUGAGUGUUGGUCAGUCAAGAAUUCACAUAUCCAGAAGAUGAAAGUAGCAGAAAUAAGGAUGUUGAGAUGGAUGUGUGGGUACACUAGGCUGGAUAAGAUUCGGAAUGAAGAUACUCGGGAGAGAGUGGGCGUGGCUUCUGUGGACGACAAGAUGCGGGAAGCGCGACUUAGAUGGUUCAGACACGUGCGGAGGAGAAGCAUAGAUGCACCGGUUAGGAGGUGUGAGCAGUUGACUUUGACAGGUACGAAAAGAGGCAGAGGGCGGCCUAAGAAGUAUUGGGGCGAGGUAAUUAGGCAGGACAUGGCACGGCUUCAUAUUUUCGAGGACAUGGCUCUUGAUAGGAACAUGUGGAGGUCGAGCAUUAGGGUGGUAGGCUAGGGGGUAGUCGAGAGUUCUUCCCUCUUUGUACCGGGUAGUCUGAUAGAGUUUCGUGUAGGUUUGUUAGCGGCCUUUGUUGUAUUCACAUUGUUGUUUGCAUAGUUUUGUGUUAUUGUCCUUUCACUUAUUUGUUGUGGUUAUUUUCUUUCUGGUAUCUUUUGUUGUUACAUGUCUUUUCUCUUUUUUAUUUCUGAUAUUAUUGUCUCUCCUGUUGAGUCGAGAGUUUCCUAGAAACAGCCUCUCUGCUCUUUUCGGGGUAAGGGUAAGGUUUGCGUACACUCUACUCUCCCCAGACCCCACUAGUGGAAUUUUACUGGGUAUGUUGUUGUUGUCGUAAUUUUUGUAAAUUAUAAUUGGACAGAGUAUAUACCUAUGGGCUCCAGGCUCGAUAUUUGAGGCUAGUAGCACCAUGCUAUCCUGAAUUCUUAUAUGUGUCAAUUUUAAUAUUUUUCAAAAUUUUG
rnacentral:lncRNA from 1 species